rnacentral:rRNA from 1 species
UACGGGGGGGGCAAGCGUUGUUCGGAAUUACUGGGCGUAAAGGGCUCGUAGGUGGCCAACUCAGUCGGAUGUGAAAUCCCCAGGCUCAACUUGGGAACUGCAUCCGAUACUGGAUGGCUUGAAUCCGGGAGAGGGAUGCAGAAUUCCAGGUGUAGCGGUGAAAUGCGUAGAUAUCGGGAGGAACACCAGUGGCGAAGGCGACUUCCUGGCCUGUUCUUGACGCUGAGGCGCGAAAGCUAGGGUAGCAAACGGG